CCUGAAAAUGCUAAAAUCAUUUAAUUAGAUCUCCAUUCACAGUCAAUCUUUUAGUGGAGCAUGAAUAUAUGAACAAAGCAUGAAGCUAAGAACAAUAAAAGGAGAGAAUCCAAAUCCAAUUUAUUAUGUUACUUUGUUUGAGACUUAAAUUUUGUAAUUAUUUUUGUUCUUUGAUUUUUUUUAUAGGUGAGCCUCACUUCUUUCAAGGAUCUUACUUGUGUUUCACAAAGAUGCAGGUGUUGCUUCUACAUUUAUAACUCCCUGAUAUUCUCUAAUAGGAUUGGACUAGAAGAUGUUUACCUGCAAAGGAAGGAAGGAGCAACAGGAUUUAAGAAGAGCAUACACUACCAAUGAAGCCUACACCACCAAUAAAGGAAAUCAUUUCAACAGCAACUACUUAGAAAACUUGAAGGGAGUGAAGCAGUGCUGCCAUAUCAAGCUGGGCUUCAAGGACUAUUUGGGAAUAACAAUUACUCAUCUCCUACUGCUGUGGAAUUACCUCAACAGUCUCGAAAAUUUAGUGAUUUAGCUCAGCACCGACCCAACCAGGGUCAAGGCAUUGAGCAACAAAUGCUAAAUCCUGUUCAACAAGCUUACUAUCAAUAUGCUCUCCAGAGUUCUCAACAAAAGUCUGCUUUGGCAAUGCAGAAACCUAAAAUGGAAAUGUUAGUCCCCACAUCUGUUAAGGGUCAAGAAAUGCGAAUGGGGAAUUUUAAAUUGCA